rnacentral:lncRNA from 1 species
GGGGAUCAAACCUGCGUCCCAGUGAAUUUGGCUAUUAUGAAUAAUGCUUCUAUGAAUAUUUUCACAUAACGAUCUGCCAGUAUCAUACUGUCUUAAUUACUGUAGCUUUGUAGGAAGUUUUUGAAUUGGGAAGUGUAAGCCCUCAAACUUGUACUUUUUCAAGAUUGUUUUGACUAUUCUGAGUCCUUUGCAUUUGCAGAUGAAUCUUAGGACCACUUUGUUCAUUUCUGCUACAAAGGAUGGUGCAAUUUUUUUUUUUUUGGUCUUUUUAGGGCCUCACCCAUGGCAUAUGGAGGUUCCCAGGCUAGGGGUCGAAUGAGAGCUGUAGCCUCUGGCCUACACCAUAGCCAUAGCAACUUGGGAUCCGAGCUGCAUCUGUGACCUACACCGCAGUUCACGGCAAUGCAGGAUCCUUAACCCACUGAGCGAGGCCAGGGAUCCAACCCUCAACCUCAUGGAUUCUAGUCGGGUUCACGGCAAUGCAGGAUCCUUAACCCACUGAGCGAGGCCAGGGAUCCAACCCUCAACCUCAUGGAUUCUAGUCGGGUUCGUUACUGCUGAGCCACAACCGGAACUCCCUGACAUGUAAGGACUAAGAUGGGAAGAGAGAGUAGGAGCUUGAUAGGAAAAGGGGUAGAGAAGGGGAAAGAUGUGGGCAGAGGAAGGAGACCUGGGAAAACCUAGAGUGAAACAAAGCAAAGCACAGCAUAUUCAAGGAACUGAAAAAAGCAGAAAUGAGGUUGGAAAGGCCGGCGCGGGCAGGAUGGACUCAGUGGGGUCGGGGGGACUGGCCUUUAUCUGGAAGCCCUGGAAGGACGGUGGGGAGGCCUGUGGGGGGUGGGCUUCCUCAGGUUCCCUGACCAGAAGAGGCCACCAGACAGAAGGGAUGGAGGACACUGUUGUGUGAACUUGAGAAACAGUGGCAACUUGGACUUGGGUACUGGGGACACUGGGGACGGAGUGAAGUGGACUAUGUGUUUGGAAGAAAUCUGGAGGACAGACUUAACAGCGCUUGGUGUCGGGGAAGGGGAGGGAAGGGGAGGAUACCAUGGAUAAUCUUCCAACUUGGUGGAUGGAGAGGCCCUUUGCAGGAUAAAAAAAUGAAACCAGCCUUCUCACUCUGACCAGUGCAGCCCUGUCACCUUGGAAACAACUUCCAUUUCUUCCUCUGUGAGGAAAAACUUGAGAACUGUCCAGGGGUGUCCCUGUCCCCGAGGUGGCCCAGCACCUGACGCUGAGGAAUUGAAGCUCCAGUGCCCUGGCCUCCCCCUCCAGACUCUUCUCCUCCCUUCCCCAGAUCCGACCUCUCCCUUCUUCUAAUUAUGCCCCAAGUUAUCUUUUAAGGUUCUGUACAUGACAUGGGGUGGGCUCCCAAGUUAGAAGAACCAACUGGACAGCCACUGAUUAUCUCAAUAGUUGAGCUCCCUCCAACCCAAAGGCACAACCACUUACCUCUCCCUCUAGGGCCCCCGGUUCUCAAGGCCCCAAAUCUUGCUUUGUGUCAUGAAGACUUUUUCCCUUGGGGGAGGAGUGGGGGUUUGAUCAGACAAGAGCCUGUGUAUCAGCCCACUGCAUUUUAGUCGAGAUAUGGAUCUGGGCAGCUGUUCAGUGAAUAAGCCAGCAGCCUGAGAUGGGAUGGCAUGGUUCAUCUUACCGGGUCACCCUGCCCAGACACAAGGCGCUGGGGGGCAGGGGGGCGGGCACGGAAAGAUGGCAGAGCCAAAAGAAAAGCUUCUAGAUUAAACAGAGAUCAAAAUCCCAGCACAACAAAGGGACAUCUCUGCGGUCAACCUCCUAGUGUUCUCUGCCUACAGUACUGGGUCAGCGUCAGCAGGGAGCCCACAGCCACCCGGGCACCUCCACAACAUGGACCCCAUUCUGUGCAGGGGCUGGUGCUGGCCACGUUGGUGGUAACAUGCGCUCUCUUAAGCACUGGAUGCAUCCGACUACAUGGGAACCUCACCACCUCCUGUAAAGAGUGCGGGGGGGUGCUAUUUGCCCAUGUUCCACACUAGGAAGUGUGCAAGUCUGCACAAGCAUCACUGGACUCUGUCCACCUGGGAAAGGCCUGCAAUACCACAGCCUGGUGCAUUCCCAGGUAGAGUCCAUCCUGCUGGGCCGUUCAGCAGAGGCUUCUCUUUAGGCCCACUGUCCUCCAGGACAUACCUCCUGAGCCCCUGCCAUCCUGGGUCUGUCUCCUCACCCACAGCACCGCCAGGCUGCACCCACACCCCCAACCCUAGAAUGAGGGAGCCACUUGUGGGCAUCACUUUGCCCUGAUCUCAUUUUGUCACCUCCUCCAUAGCUCAAGGGGAACGACAAAUCACAGGGUUUUCAAAAAAUAUGGCCUUUUAUUGUCUUGGAUGCAAAUAUAGUUUUCAAACUGCAUUGUAGUGUUGAAUACAGCUGGUGGAAAGGUGCUUCUCAACAGCGGAGCAUAAACGGCCUUGCUCUGGAUGGCGCAGGCCUGAGGCUUGGGGCCUCCGGUGAGCAAGACUCUUCUUGGGUUUUGUUUUUCUGCCCACGAGGGGUGACUGUUUGCUACAGAAGCCCUGACACAGUCACCGGAGCUCACAAGAGAAAAAAAUGAACCAUUUACACAAUGAACUGAAAGCAGAAAAAGGAAAAGAACGUGCUGUUUCAGCUGUGGCGUUACAGAAGAAGCCCACAAACACGAGUGUGAACAGAUUCAGAUAAAGCAGCAGCAAGGGCGCCGAGGGAGGGGCCUCGUGCCAGUUCCCUCGGGGACACACAGCCUCGGCUCCAUGUCUCCUACCUUUUAACUGCAGGAAGGAAACUUUAUGGAAAUGUAUCGAACUUCAGUUUCUCCCAACCCUCUCCACCACCUCAACUCUUGAGGAUGGCACCUCUCUGUUCACAUACCCAGGAGAGAAUUCUUCCAAUUAGCGACACCCAGGGUUGACUCUGGAACCAAAAGGUUGACUGGGAGAUAAAAGCGAAUUUUGCUACAUAAUUGUCAAGGUAUUUCACAAAAAUAAAAUCCAUUAAAAACACCCACAAACACGCACACACACACACACACACAGAGCCAACAUUCAACAGGAAAAGUUCCCUUUUCUUUCUCAAAGGCUGAUUUUUACAAGCCUCGACAGGAACGGCCCCCACGUGGUGAGCUGGGAAAGCCAAGGCCUCAGAAGGGAAAGACAAUGGGGCAGGUGAUGGAGGGGGUGUGGGCGCAGCUGGGGGUUCUGGGGCCUGUCUCUGCUCCCAGAGCCCCUCCGCUCCCCAAACCUGCCUGCCCAGCAGGUCAAGGUGAUGGAAACCACGGAAACACGCGUGUUGAAGGUCCAAACUCCUCUACCCCUGCUCUCCUCUCCUGCUGUCUAUGUUCAGAUGUGGUGAAAAUCUUUAAUAUACAAGGCAUCAGGGACAUCGAGCCAAAAACCAUGGCCCACCACUGCUGCGCACCCACCUCAGGGCUCGCCAGCUCCCUUCCUCGUUGUCAAGGCCACUGCAGAGGAAGCACUUUGCAAAGUGGCUCCGACAAGCAGCAGACCGGGCGGGUUUCACCUGCAGCAAAUCAAUCAGCGGAAGCAAGGCAUCUCUAGGGAAAGGCAAUUCCUCCACCAGAGAGAGGAGAGCAGCUAUACUCAGCUUAGUUAGGGGCCUGGGGCCGUGAGAGAGACAAAAGACGCAGGCAGAGCUAGAUGACCAUGGGAGGGGAAGAGCAUAGGGGUGCUGUGCCAAGGCUG